GACGAACGCUGGCGGCGUGCCUAAUACAUGCAAGUCGAACGCUUCUUUCCUCCCGAGUGCUUGCACUCAAUUGGAAAGAGGAGUGGCGGACGGGUGAGUAACACGUGGGUAACCUACCCAUCAGAGGGGGAUAACACUUGGAAACAGGUGCUAAUACCGCAUAACAGUUUAUGCCGCAUGGCAUAAGAGUGAAAGGCGCUUUCGGGUGUCGCUGAUGGAUGGACCCGCGGUGCAUUAGCCAGUUGGGGAGGUAACGGCUCACCAAGGCCACGAUGCAUAGCCGACCUGAGAGGGUGAUCGGCCACACUGGGACUGAGACACGGCCCAGACUCCUACGGGAGGCAGCAGUAGGGAAUCUUCGGCAAUGGACGAAAGUCUGACCGAGCAACGCCGCGUGAGUGAAGAAGGUUUUCGGAUCGUAAAACUCUGUUGUUAGAGAAGAACAAGGACGUUAGUAACUGAACGUCCCCUGACGGUAUCUAACCAGAAAGCCACGGCUAACUACGUG
rnacentral:rRNA from 1 species